rnacentral:rRNA from 1 species
UUGGAGGGCAAGUCUGGUGCCAGCAGCCGCGGUAAUUCCAGCUCCAAUAGCGUAUAUUAAAGUUGUUGCAGUUAAAAAGCUCGUAGUUGAAUUUCGGGAUUAGUACGCUGGUCGUGCCUUCGGUACGUACUGGUGUUACUGAUUUCUACCUUCUGACGAACCAUCAUGUCAUUAAUUUGGUGUGGUGGGGAAUCAGGACUGUUACUUUGAAAAAAUUAGAGUGUUUAAAGCAGGCUCGCGCUUGAAUACAUUAGCAUGGAAUAAUGGAAUAGGACGUUGAUCCUAUUUUGUUGGUUUCUAGGAUUGACGUAAUGAUUAAUAGGGAUAGUUGGGGGCAUUAGUAUUCAAUUGUCAGAGGUGAAAUUCUUGGAUUUAUUGAAGACUAACUACUGCGAAAGCAUUUGCCAAGGAUGUUUUCAUUAAUCAUGAACGAAAGUUAGGGGAUCGAAGACGAUCAGAUACCGUCGUAGUCUUAACCAUAAACUAUGCCGACUAGGGAUCGGAUGAUGUUAUUUUUAAUGACUCAUUCGGCGCCUUACGGGAAAC